rnacentral:rRNA from 1 species
AGAUUGAACGCUGGCGGCAUGCUUUACACAUGCAAGUCGAACGGUAACAGGCCGCAAGGUGCUGACGAGUGGCGAACGGGUGAGUAAUGUAUCGGAACGUGCCCAGUCGUGGGGGAUAACGCAGCGAAAGCUGCGCUAAUACCGCAUACGCUCUAUGGAUGAAAGCGGGGGACCGUAAGGCCUCGCGCGAUUGGAGCGGCCGAUAUCAGAUUAGGUAGUUGGUGGGGUAAAGGCUCACCAAGCCAACGAUCUGUAGCUGGUCUGAGAGGACGACCAGCCACACUGGGACUGAGACACGGCCCAGACUCCUACGGGAGGCAGCAGUGGGAAUUUGGACAAUGGGCGCAAGCCUGAUCCAGCAAUGCCGCGUGCAAGGAAGAAGGCCGUUCGGUUGUAAACUAGUCUUUUUAGGUAACCGGUAACGAAACCGGUUACCUAGGUUUAACUACCGUUAGGGACUAAGUGUAACGGUAACCGUAAGAAA